rnacentral:other from 1 species
AUAUCCCUGCCGUGCACGUUGGAAAAUUUGAUGAUUGGUGAACCAACACCAAUAUAAAGGGAGCUUAACUUCUUUGGUGCUGCGUGCAUCAAAGAGAGAGCACCCACGUGGAACCAAAUCGGUUCAGCCCAUCAUAUCCAACGGCACAGUGCGGGGAUUUU